GGAAACGGGUGGUAAUGCCGGAUGCUCCAGUUGAUCGCAUGGUCUUCUGGGAAAGCUUUCGCGGUAUGGGAUGGGGUCGCGUCCUAUCAGCUUGACGGCGGGGUAACGGCCCACCGUGGCUUCGACGGGUAGCCGGCCUGAGAGGGCGACCGGCCACAUUGGGACUGAGAUACGGCCCAGACUCCUACGGGAGGCAGCAGUGGGGAAUAUUGCACAAUGGGCGCAAGCCUGAUGCAGCGACGCCGCGUGAGGGAUGGAGGCCUUCGGGUUGUAAACCUCUUUUAUCGGGGAGCAAGCGAGAGUGAGUUUACCCGUUGAAUAAGCACCGGCUAACUACGUGCCAGCAGCCGCGGUAAUACGUAGGGUGCAAGCGUUAUCCGGAAUUAUUGGGCGUAAAGGGCUCGUAGGCGGUUCGUCGCGUCCGGUGUGAAAGUCCAUCGCUUAACGGUGGAUCCGCGCCGGGUACGGGCGGGCUUGAGUGCGGUAGGGGAGACUGGAAUUCCCGGUGUAACGGUGGAAUGUGUAGAUAUCGGGAAGAACACC
rnacentral:rRNA from 1 species